CAAAUUUGUAGGGACUAUGGUACUACUGCAAUGUUUAAAUAAACUUAUGAAUGAAAUAAUAAUAAUAAAAAAAAUCUAAACAAGAAAGAAAAGGGAAAAUGGAAAAGAAUAGAAAGAGGAGGAAGGUUUGAUUGCUUUUCUUAUUACUAGUAUUCAUCUUGUUUGCAAUGUUGGGUUGU